UACAGAGGGGGCAAGCGUUGUUCGGAAUUACUGGGCGUAAAGGGCGCGUAGGCGGCCUGUUAAGUCGGACGUGAAAUCCCUCGGCUCAACCGGGGAACUGCGUCCGAAACUGGCGGGCUUGAAUUCGGGAGAGGGAUGUGGAAUUCCAGGUGUAGCGGUGAAAUGCGUAGAUAUCUGGAGGAACACCGGUGGCGAAGGCGGUUCUCUGGGCAUGUCCUGACGCUGAGGAGCGAAAGUGUGGGGAGCGAACAGG
rnacentral:rRNA from 1 species